rnacentral:pre_miRNA from 1 species
UGGAAACUAUCGUUAGAUCGAAAAAUGGAUGUCUGAUAUUCGUCCAUGUUAUCAUGAGUAAAAAUUUUAUUCCCAGUAAAAUUUUUACUCAUGGGUGAACCUGUGAACCCGCGAGUAAAAUUUUUACUCGUGAUGACAUGGACAAAUACGCCUAUUUUUUGAUUUAACGGUAAUUUGCA